AUACUUCCAUCAAUAUCAUAUCCUUUCAAUUACCUCUUUAACUACAAACAAUUUUCAAACUAACCAAUCAACAUCCAUCGCUAACACUGUAUAUCUCUUCAAAUGUCUAUCCAUCUUAAAAAACAGUGUUGCACACUGCUCCAUAUUCCUUACUUUCUCUCUAACAUCAUUCCAAUCCGGUUCUUCUUCUCUCACACUCCAUUCAUACCCAUGAACAAACAAUCAGUUAAACUCAUCCAUGAAUUCACUCCAGAUCGGUGAGUGGCUUCGUUCUUCCCUCCUAACCCCCAACUUCCACCAAACAAACAAUCAUGACCGAACACGGCAAACUCAAAUCCUAUUCCGGCCACCCUCCUCCGCCGUCGUCGCAAUCCUUUCAACCUCCUUAGUACGAGUCUUUCCAUGGCAUUUCCAAUUUCCCACCUCUUCACCCUAACCCUUACCCCUGCCGUCGGUUUCCCUCCUGGAUCCGACCCCUCCGCCCCUAUUACAGUUAUGGCUACUAAGCUUUUUCCGUUAUUGUUCCUUCUUUUAUUUAUAGCUUAUUUCUUCCAUUUGGUUUUGUUUUGUAGCUUGAAAAUGAAAAUGUUUUGCAGCUUGAAAAUGAAAAUAUUGAAUUUUUUUAUUUUGAUCAGCUCUAUGACGGGUCAUACUAAUUUAGAAAUUUAAUGAAUAAGUUCAAUUUAUCGAUCUUACCUUUUUGUUUGGAGAUUUUGUUAUUUUUUGUUGGUUUAUACUUAUCUCUAUUCUUGACUGACUCCUCUUUGUUGUUGAUAUCUAAGCUCUAAGUUGAUAUCUAGGUAACCAAUGAUGGUUUGAUUUAAUCAUAUGUGUUUUAUUCUUUGCUUUCCUUCACAUUUUAUGAGUCUUACUAACCUAAUUUGAUUACCCUUCAACAAAAUUUGGACUUUGCAACUUCAUGCGCACCUUUUUUUUUCUUUUUUAUGUUUACAAAACUCAAUUUCCUCGGUUGUGUAACGAUUAAGGUAUAUGUACUGUGAAGGGCAUUGUUAGUAUGCAAGAGCCAUGUCAAUUAAUUCAUUUCAAUUUAUGGAUUGUUUUCCUUGAAUUUUUUUUUCUUUUCAAACAUCCAAUGUGUAUUUCAAUGGAUUAUAUAUAAAUGUCAUCUUUCGUCUGUGUAUGCUACUGUUAAGCUACUUCUUCUAGGUGUUCUGCCAUAUCACUGUGAAGCUACUUCUUAUCUGUUUGAGUCAUUCUUCUCACCACAUCGGUGUUCUGCCAUUUUCUUACAUGAUUUAGGUUAUUUAUGCUUUUGGUUGUUUUUUUUCUUUACAUCACUUCAUAUAUUCUUCUUUUAUCUUUAAUUUUGCUUUUGGUUGUGCUCAAUAUACUAUUUCAAAUGUGGCUGCUAAAGUGAUUCUUGAAACUUGAAAACAAUGUUAUGUAAAUUUGUUUAACUCUGUGAUUUAAAUCUUAUAUUUGAAGCAAGAAUGUCAAAUAGCUAUUGGUGAUCAAUGAUAUUAAAUCAUUUUUUUUAUUGUAAUGGUUGAAUAACUGUUGAGAAUGUGUAACAGUUUUGUUCAAUGAAUUGUUUACUAAGCUGAGAUUAUUGAUCACAGUAUACGUUUAUUCAUACUCUGUUAAAAAUGAGUUCUUUUUUGAAUUCUUAGGUAGCUCUCGCUGUUGAGUUCCAACUCCUCCACUUAUAUAAACUUAAAAAAGUGCUAACGAGUUCUUUUUUAGAUUAGGACUUAUUUACUUGACCUUCUGACUUAGAAAUUAUGCAGGAUUUAGGGAGGACUCAGUUAUUGAAGAUCAAUAUCAGACCGGAGGUAGUACCACCCUACGACCAAAAGGAAACUCAUAAAAGGAUGAUCUUUAGUUUAAAAGCUAAAGAGAUGGAAAAAAAUGUAUUCAACCCAACUAGGGGGAGAAGUGUUAAAGGGUCUAAAAUGUUAAGACUGUGGGAACCAAGCAAAGAAGGAUUGUGCAUACUCAAGGUGCAGAAGUUGCUGCAAAAACAAAGAUUUUAACUGCCAUACACAUAUCAGAACUUCAGAAGCACUUGGAUUCCUGCUGAUAGAAAAUUAGUGGAAAAAAAGAUCUGAAAUGCAUCCACCGCAAAGAUUCCUAAAAUGCCAUGGAUCAUGAUUGAAGAUUCAAAGUAAUCAAGGAGCAUUAUUUGGUAAUAUUAGUUAUGUCGACAUCUCUUUAGUGAAACCAUUUUGGCUAUCUAAUUGUUUGUUGUCCCUUUCUUAGUUAAAAUUUUCCAUUUAUGGAGUUGUCAUAUUUUGUGUGAAUUAUGUAAGGGCUGGGUUAACUAUUUUGGAUACAAAUUUGUAUUUGCACCUUUUGCUGGAUUGGCUUUAAUUAAGUAUGUUUUGUUUUUAAGCUUGAA